rnacentral:lncRNA from 1 species
UUUUUUCUUUUCUCUUCUUCUUCUUUUUGGCCAAUAUCUAUAAUUAUUGUUCUUCUUUCAUCUUCAUUGUUGUGCUUCUUGUGUUAUUACUAUUCUUAUUUGUAAUUUCGCACUUUAUGAUAUAAAAAAAAAGAUCAAAAAGUAAAAAAAAAAGAGGAAAAAUCAAAGGUUAAAAAAAAAAAGAGAUCAGAAUUGAAAAAAAAAAUUGCGGAUUCAAAGAAUACUUGCAAGUUAUAGAAUUUGAUCUUUGUUCAUUUGAAUUUCUAUUUCGAUUUGGAAAUCUUUCUUCAUUCCUAAAAAAAAAAAAUUCUAGUCUUUACUUAUGAUUAAAGUGCAUUAC